rnacentral:rRNA from 1 species
CCUACGGGAGGCAGCAGUGGGGAAUAUUGCACAAUGGGGGAAACCCUGAUGCAGCGACGCCGCGUGAAGGAAGAAGUAUUUCGGUAUGUAAACUUCUAUCAGCAGGGAAGAAAAUGACGGUACCUGACUAAGAAGCCCCGGCUAACUACGUGCCAGCAGCCGCGGUAAUACGUAGGGGGCAAGCGUUAUCCGGAUUUACUGGGUGUAAAGGGAGCGUAGGCGGUUUAGCAAGUCAGAAGUGAAAGCCCGGGGCUCAACUCCGGGACUGCUUUUGAAACUGUUGAACUAGAGUGCAGGAGAGGUAAGUGGAAUUCCUAGUGUAGCGGUGAAAUGCGUAGAUAUUAGGAGGAACACCAGUGGCGAAGGCGGCUUACUGGACUGUAAAUGACGCUGAGGCUCGAAAGCGUGGGGAGCAAACAGGAUUAGAUACCCGUGUAGUC